rnacentral:rRNA from 1 species
ACCAUGCAGUCGAGCGCGAAUAGGGGCAACCCUUAGUAGAGCGGCGCACGGGUGCGUAACACGUGGAUAAUCUGCCUGGAUGCUCGGGAUAACCAGUCGAAAGAUUGGCUAAUACCGGAUAAGCCCACGGUUUCUUCGGAGACUGAGGGAAAAGGUGGCCUCUGUAUACAAGCUAUCACAACCAGAUGAGUCCGCGGCCCAUCAGCUAGUUGGCGGGGUAAUGGCCCACCAAGGCAACGACGGGUAGCUGGUCUGAGAGGACGAUCAGCCACACUGGAACUGAGACACGGUCCAGACUCCUACGGGAGGCAGCAGUGGGGAAUUUUGCGCAAUGGGCGAAAGCCUGACGCAGCAACGCCGCGUGUGUGAUGAAGGUCUUCGGAUUGUAAAGCACUUUCGACCGGGACGAAAACCCGUAGCCCAACACGCUACGGCUUGACGGUACCGGGAGAAGAAGCACCGGCUAACUCUGUGCCAGCAGCCGCGGUAAUACAGAGGGUGCAAGCGUUGUUCGGAAUUAUUGGGCGUAAAGCGCGUGUAGGCGGCGUGACAAGUCGGGUGUGAAAGCCCUCAGCUCAACUGAGGAAGUGCGCCCGAAACUGUCGUGCUUGAGUGCCGGAGAGGGUGGCGGA